rnacentral:rRNA from 1 species
CCUACGGGGGGCAGCAGUGGGGAAUAUUGGACAAUGGGGGGAACCCUGAUCCAGCCAUGCCGCGUGUGUGAAGAAGGCCCUCGGGUUGUAAAGCACUUUCAGUGAGGAAGAACGCCUGGUGGUUAAUACCCAUCAGGAAAGACAUCACUCACAGAAGAAGCACCGGCUAACUCCGUGCCAGCAGCCGCGGUAAUACGGAGGGUGCGAGCGUUAAUCGGAAUUACUGGGCGUAAAGCGCGCGUAGGUGGCUUGAUAAGCCGGUUGUGAAAGCCCCGGGCUCAACCUGGGAACGGCAUCCGGAACUGUCAAGCUAGAGUGCAGGAGAGGAAUGUAGAAUUCCCGGUGUAGCGGUGAAAUGCGUAGAGAUCGGGAGGAAUACCAGUGGCGAAGGCGGCCUUCUGGACUGACACUGACACUGAGGUGCGAAAGCGUGGGUAGCAAACAGGAUUAGAUACCCCAGUAGUC